CUUUCUACACCUAUUUUAUCAUCUCCUCCACCCUUCAAUUUUUCUUCACAACUUGGUCGGAGCAAACAACCAAAGUGAAACAAAAACCCAACACUUUAUUGAAUUUUUCUUAGCUUUCUCUUGCUCUGAGAUUGUGCUCUAUAUAUUAAAUUUACUUUAUAUAUUUAUCUCUUGACCAAGGUGGAAGAAGAAAAUUGACGAGAAAAAUAUAAAAAGAGAAACCAUU
rnacentral:lncRNA from 1 species